AUCUGCCUGGUAGUGGGGGAUAACGUCCGGACCUUCUGGCGAAUACCGCAUACCUCCUGAGGGAGAAAGUGGGGGAUCUUCGGACCUCACGCUAUCAGAUGAGCCUAGGUCUUAUUAGCUAGUUGGUGGGGUAAAGGCCUACCAAGGCGACGAUCCGUAACUGGUCUGAGAGGAUGAUCAGUCACACUGGAACUGAGACACGGUCCAGACUCCUACGGGAGGCAGCAGUGGGGAAUAUUGGACAAUGGGCGAAAGCCUGAUCCAGCCAUGCCGCGUGUGUGAAGAAGGUCUUCGGAUUGUAAAGCACUUUAAGUUGGGAGGAAGGGCAGUAAGUUAAUACCUUGCUGUUUUGACGUUACCAACAGAAUAAGCACCGGCUAGCUGCGUGCCAGCAGCCGCGGUAAUACGAAGGGUGCAAGCGUUAAUCGGAAUUACUGGGCGUAAAGCGCGCGUAGGUGGUUCAGCAAGUUGGAUGUGAAAUCCCCGGGCUCAACCUGGGAACUGCAUCCAAAACUACUGAGCUAGAGUACGGUAGAGGGUGGUGGAAUUUCCUGUGUAGCGGUGAAAUGCGUAGAUAUAGGACGGAGCACCAGUGGCGAAGGCGACCACCUGGACUGAUACUGACACUGAGGUGCGAAAGCGUGGGGAGCAAACAGGAUGAGACACCCUCCUAGUCCACGCCGUAAACCAUGUCGACUAGCCACUGGGAUCCCUC
rnacentral:rRNA from 1 species